CUCCAGUGUCACAUUUCAGGCCGGCAGGUAAAUACAGGACCCAGGAAGCCACCCCGCUCGGCGACGGCGAGGCGAGUGGCAAGCAGUCCCAGGCAGCGGCCGAGAAGCGCCCAGGACCGCGGGGGCCGUAACCGGGUGCCCUUGGGCGCCAGGCGGGGACCGGAGCGGGGCGGCUGCGGCGAUCCCCGUGCCCUGGGGGCCUGGCCUGCUUUCUGCUGCCGCGUCAGGGCCAGGCCCGCGCCGGGUCGAGAGCGGCACCUGUGAGCGCCCCGAAAGCGAGGGCCUGGGGACCUCACUGCGGAUGCGCUGCGGUGGGACCAGAGCGGGGCCGGCGGGAGGCGACUCCGAGAGACUCCAGGAAAACCCGGGAAAGAAAACACCCGGAAGGCGCCCCGGUAUGGUCUGAGGCUCACAGCAGUGCCCGCAGAGCAGGUGCCAGGAUGCAGCCGGGGCUCGGGUCCCGGACUGUGGCGGCGGGAGACCAGCGGCCCAGCGCGCGGAGCUCCGGGACCGGCGGCAGGAGGAGAAGAACGGCCCGCAGUCACCUGGCCUGGCGUGCGAUGUCGCCAUCCCCGAGCGUCGGAGGAAGUGAAUUACAUGCGUGUGCACACACGUAAAUAUUUUAUAAGCCUCCCCUUAAUUAACCAAAUCAUUUCCAUUAUGCCUCCAAUGUGAUCAACAGCAGCGGUGUGAGGGUUUUCAGGGCUUAUAAUUCGAUGUCACCAGACGGUCGCUCGGGGGCAGAGGUACAAUCGCGGAGCCAGCUGCACUUGUAUUUAUUUGUUUUUCUACCGUGUUCCUGUAGGGCUCCAUUAUGCAGUUUUUAAUUAGUUUGUGUUUGUGUUUCACCCGUCCCAAAUCAAUGCCAUCCCGGAGCAAGGCGAUGUAAAUUCUCGCAGUACAGGUGUAGCUGCUGGCUUGGGAACACUCGGAAACACGCGUCUGACAAAUGAGAGCGGGCACCACACAGCCCACUGUCGGCUCCUGGCAGCCAAGAGGCGCAGACCAAAGCCAGCGGGGACUUCUGCGCCCCUGUGAGCGCCAAGCCCGCGUGCUGGGUUCCUAAUUCCAGUAGAGGGAGCCGCACAGAGCACGGCGUGGGGGGCAAAGUGACUUUUCAUUUUGCCCGAGUCCUGCGGUCCUUGGGCCUAGUGGGCGAGGCUGGAGCCCGCGUGCAAUUAACCUAGCUCCCCCGGAAGAUCACUGUGGCACCUGUCAGGUUCCGUGGAGCCUUUAAACAGGACCCAAGGCAGACAGCCCGAAUUUCUGGAAUCUCCAGGCAUGAGGACCGCCUCCCCACACCCCCGCCCCCUUGUGCUGGCUGUCUCUUCCUUCUUGAAAUGACCUCUGUGGAGUGCCUGUAAAUCUAUCCCGCCAGCCACGGGGGAAUUCUUUUAAAGCUUUCUUUUUUGUCAGGAGUAAGAGAUUGUUCAUCUUUAACUAGACCACAUAGAAAUUAUGAUUCAACAGCAGUGUGUAUUUAAUUAGAGUAAUCUCACUUGAAUUUAAUUACCUAAUGAAUUAUUUGUUUAAAAGGUAGAAUGUCUUGUUUGCCAAGUGCGGUGCAGACCUCCGAUAAGAACUUCUGUUAUAAGGACGUUACAGCUUAAAAGCAGUCAUGUGUUAAGGUUUAUAUUUUAACUCCUUGAGUGUGUAACUGUUAACUGUUAAUGUGCUACCCGCACAAAAACUCUGAUACGGAAGGGUGCCGGGAGAGCAUGCACAGAUUCUGUCUGUGCCCACAUCCUUUUGGAAAUUAGCAUCCUCUACCUUGCCACCUGAGCCUAUUUUUAAACUUCCUGCAUUUUGCUUUCAGUGGCAGUUUCCUUUUUUCUGCUGCACGAUGACAGCUGUCUAUUAGAGGGCUCAUUUUAUGAUUAGUAUUUGCAAUGAAGGGCACAUCCUUCAGCAAAACUCCCGCCCAGCUCCACUGUGUCCCAGAGGCACCCACAAUAGCAGCAGGAAGCCUUUCUGGGCUCAUCAAACCUCAUGGGAAUGGAAGGUACCAAGGCCCAGACUUUGACCUUAACCCUUCAUUCCCAAACCAUGGAAGUAUCUCCUUGCCUCUUGGUUUCCAAAAGCAAGAGCCCAGAACUCCAGGCCACGCCGCCCUUUCUGGGAGGCUCACAAGUUGACUUGUCUCUCGGUAAUGCUAACGAUUUUUGCAGCUAAUGCCAAGUUUGAAAUCCCAGCCAAGGGAGGAGGGUGACGUGCUGGAAGUCUAACAUGAUUUCUGUGUUUUUCUGUGGCUAAGUGGCUACAGGCAGGAGCGGACUGCUUCUCCUCCUCUAUCCCGUGUGAUGGACAGAAUCGUCUGUCCCUGUGUGAUGGAAUUUCAGCAGAGGAAUGAACGGAUAGGGUGAGGGAGGCAGCAGGAAAUGCUUCGCCCACUCACUGAAGAGAGACCAGGAAAUAAGAACGCCUGAAAUCUGCUGGAUUGAAUUCCACUGUCAUUUUCAUUAAUAUUUCAUCAAUCAAAUAAUUUACUUUAAUUGCAGAUUCGGGCACUAUUAUCACAUAAAUAUUAAAUAGUAUUAAUAUAGUGUCCAUCUAAGUAAGAAUGAGCUUAUAAGAAAGUACAACACGUCGAUAAGAAUUGUUAAUUUCUUGUUUCUCUCCUGUAUCCCUGAUGUGUAUCAUAACUGUGCAUUGUGCAGUUGGGUGUCCCAACAACCAAUAGUGGUUAAAUUGUAAUAUAAAUUUGGGACUCCUG